GCCAGCUGUGUGUCCUUAAGGAGUGACCUGUCUAAAAGUCACCCCAUUGAUUUUAAAGUCCAGCCUGUGUCUGCUGCAGAGAGAGUGGACCAGCAGAGCUCAGAGGUUCCCAGUGGUCCCUUUCAGAACACCAAGGACUCUGUGGACUAAAUGACCAAAAGAAACAAACUUUGAAAUCAGACGGUGCAAAUGUGAUCACAGGGAAACGUUUUAAACAUCGAGGCUUUAAACAGAAACCAAAGUGAAACAGUUUGUAGUCGAGAUCAGUGGGAAUGAAGCUGAAUAACUGUUUCUUCAAUAUCUUUGAGCUCUUAAAGAAGAAAAACUAGCUGAAAGUCUGGCUGCUCUUAUGAAAAGUACAGAGAAAUUAUGGGUCGCUCAACACUUGUGCACAAUAUAGGAGUUUAAAUAAAUCUGAAGAAUAACUCAAAGUCCUACAAUCAUACUGAUAAAGUCAUCUACAGCUAACUAUCCAAGUGGAUUUGUUUAAGACAGCUCCAUCUGCUGGUGGCCCUCUGCAGGUGCAUGAAAGGGGCGUGUUUAUAGUGAAAGUAGUAGAGAAAGUAAACCCCACGGGAAGGAGGAGGACUCUCAGCAGCUUC